GCGGAGCCUGAGGGGCCCGAGGCCUGCCCACGCUCGGUGGGAGCGCUCUCGGGUACGCCCGGCGCCCCCUUGCUGGCUCUGCUUAGAGGCUGGGUGUUCUCGGACUCUGGGAGGAGUGGGUGGGGCAGGCCCGGUGCAAACAGGUUCUGCCGUGAGUCCAGCAGGAUGCAAGUGCCAUCUUGUAGAAUUCAUGGGAAUGGAGGAGGAUGGAUGCUGUGGCUGAAUAAACUCCUUCCCUGGGUCAGCAAGUGAACCUAGCACAAGGCACCGACUUGUGCCAUCCUGACCUGCCCUUGCAUUACCAGCUGUUUGGGAGAAUUGUAAAAAGGUGACUCAUUUAGAGUCAGAUUCUGUUUUAGGGGAAUAUCAUGCAGACCCUCUCCUGACUUCGUAGAAGGUUUUCUGACCUUGUCAAAAGGUUAGAGAGAGGCAGAUUACAUGACCAUUUUUUAAAAGAGGAAGAAAGUGAGUUCUGCAAACCACAGAUCAGUGAACCUGACAUUGGGCCUGGAAAAUCUUCAGGGCAGAUGACUUAACAAAAAAAUAUUUGUGACCUCUCCAAAGAUGAAACAACAGUGACAAAGACCAAGUCACACUAGGUUAACCUUAUUUCUUGAUGUGAAAUGUAUAAAUGUGUAAAUCAAGGAAAUAUGGUGGAAAUAUAUAUCUGGGCCUGGAAGGUAUAUUUCCCAGUAUUCUUUCAGUUAUAGUGAUGGAAACUCAAUUCAAACUGGUUUUUAAAAGAGAGGGGGCCGGGCGCGGUGGCUGACGCCUGUAAUCCCAGCACUUUGGGAGGUCGAGGCGGGCGGAUCAUGAGGUCAAGAGAUUGAGACCAUCCUGGCCAACAUGGUGAAACCUGG
rnacentral:lncRNA from 10 species